UUUAUGGAGAGUUUGAUCCUGGCUCAGGAUGAACGCUGGCGGCGUGCCUAAUACAUGCAAGUCGAGCGAACGGAUGAGAAGCUUGCUUCUCUGAUGUUAGCGGCGGACGGGUGAGUAACACGUGGAUAACCUACCUAUAAGACUGGGAUAACUUCGGGAAACCGGAGCUAAUACCGGAUAAUAUUUUGAACCGCAUGGUUCAAAAGUGAAAGACGGUCUUGCUGUCACUUAUAGAUGGAUCCGCGCUGCAUUAGCUGGUUGGUAAGGUAACGGCUUACCAAGGCAACGAUGCAUAGCCGACCUGAGAGGGUGAUCGGCCACACUGGAACUGAGACACGGUCCAGACUCCUACGGGAGGCAGCAGUAGGGAAUCUUCCGCAAUGGGCG
rnacentral:rRNA from 1 species